rnacentral:rRNA from 1 species
UACCAGCACCCCGAGUGGUCGGGACGUUUAUUGGGCCUAAAGCAUCCGUAGCCGGUUCUACAAGUCUUCCGUUAAAUCCAACUGCUUAACAGGUGGGCUGCGGAAGAUACUAUAGAGCUAGGAGGCGGGGAGAGGCAAGCGGUACUCGAUGGGUAGGGGUAAAAUCCGUUGAUCCAUUGAAGACCACCAGUGGCGAAGGCGGCUUGCCAGAACGCGCUCGACGGUGAGGGGAUGAAAGCUGGGGGGAGCAAACCGG